rnacentral:rRNA from 1 species
UACGAAGGGGGCUAGCGUUGCUCGGAAUCACUGGGCGUAAAGGGUGCGUAGGCGGGUCUUUAAGUCAGGGGUGAAAUCCUGGAGCUCAACUCCAGAACUGCCUUUGAUACUGAAGAUCUUGAGUUCGGGAGAGGUGAGUGGAACUGCGAGUGUAGAGGUGAAAUUCGUAGAUAUUCGCAAGAACACCAGUGGCGAAGGCGGCUCACUGGCCCGAUACUGACGCUGAGGCACGAAAGCUAGGGGAGCAAAUGGG